rnacentral:rRNA from 1 species
UACGUAGGUGGCAAGCGUUGUCCGGAUUUACUGGGCGUAAAGAGCGCGCAGGCGGUCGUUCAAGUCGCGUGUGAAAGCCCCCGGCUCAACUGGGGAGGGUCACGCGAUACUGAUCGACUCGAAGGCAGGAGAGGGUAGUGGAAUUCCCGGUGUAGUGGUGAUAUGCGUAGAUAUCGGGAGGAACACCUGUGGCGAAGGCGGCAUCCUGGACCAUUACUGACGCUGAGGCGCGAAAAGCUAGGGGGAGCAAACGGG